rnacentral:lncRNA from 1 species
CAGACUUAGCCAAUUUUUCAGCAUUUUCAGCCUCUAUCCUUUUUCACUCCGUUUUUGCUCGUUUUCGCUCGUUUGACCUCCGUUUCUUUUCAAAUCGAAUCGAGACUCUCCAAACAUGUUUUCGAACAUGUUUUCAUCAUCUUUUCAUCCACGCUAAUGCCGGAUUUAGUCCACGGUCCAACAUAGCCUUUCGGAUUCCGUUCUCGCGCCCUACGCGCACCGAAGCACCCGAACUUUGCCG